GACAGAGGGUGCAAACGUUGUUCGGAAUUACUGGGCGUAAAGCGCGUGUAGGCUGCUUGGAAAGUCGGAUGUGAAAGCCCUGGGCUUAACCCAGGAAGUGCACUCGAAACUUCCAAGCUCGAGUCCUGGAGAGGGUGGCGGAAUUCUCGGUGUAGAGGUGAAAUUCGUAGAUAUCGAGAGGAACACCGGUGGCGAAGGCGGCUACCUGGACAGUGACUGACGCUGAGACGCGAAAGCGUGGGGAGCAAACAGG
rnacentral:rRNA from 1 species